rnacentral:rRNA from 1 species
GACGAACGCUGGCGGCGUGCUUAACACAUGCCAGUCGAACGGAAAGGCCCUGCUUGCAGGGUACUCGAGUGGCGAACGGGUGAGUAACACGUGGGUGAUCUGCCCUGCACUUCGGGAUACGCCUGGGAAACUGGGUCUAAUACCGGAUAGGAGCCAUUUUUAGUGUGAUGGUUGGAAAGUUUUUUCGGUGUAGGAUGAGCUCGCGGCCUAUCAGCUUGUUGGUGGGGUAAUGGCCUACCAAGGCGGCGACGGGUAGCCGGCCUGAGAGGGUGGACGGCCACAUUGGGACUGAGAUACGGCCCAGACUCCGACGGGAGGCAGCAGUGGGGAAUAUUGCACAAUGGGCGCAAGCCUGAUGCAGCGACGCCGCGUGGGGGAUGACGGCCUUCGGGUUGGAAACUCCUUUCGCUAGGGACGAAGCUUUUUGUGACGGUACCUAGAGAAGAAGCACCGGCUAACUACGUG